UCGCGGCCUAUCAGCUUGUUGGUGAGGUAACGGCUCACCAAGGCUCAGACGGGUAGCUGGUCUGAGAGGACGAUCAGCCACACUGGGACUGAGACACGGCCCAGACUCCUACGGGAGGCAGCAGCAGGGAAUUUUGCACAAUGAGCGCAAGCUUGAUGCAGCGACGCCGCGUGGGGGAUGAAUGCCUUCGGGUUGUAAACCCCUUUCAGGAGGGACGAAGCGAGAGUGACGGUACCUCCAGAAGAAGCCCCGGCCAACUACGUGCCAGCAGCCGCGGUAAUACGUAGGGGGCGAACGUUGUCCGGAUUUAUUGGGCGUAAAGAGCUCGUAGGCGGCUCAGCAAGUCGGCCGUGAAAACCCGGGGCUCAACCCCGGGACGCCGGUCGAAACUGCUGUGGCUAGGGUCCGGUAGAGGAGAGUGGAAUUCCCGGUGUAGCGGUGGAAUGCGCAGAUAUCGGGAGGAACACCAGUAGCGAAGGCGGCUCUCUGGGCCGGCACCGACGCUGAGGAGCGAAAGCUAGGGGAGCAAACAGGAUUAGAUACCCUGGUAGUCCUAGCCGUAAACGUUGGGUACUAGGUGUGGCGGAGUCAUUGACCUCUGCCGUGCCGAAGCUAACGCAUUAAGUACCCCGCCUGGGGAGUACGG
rnacentral:rRNA from 1 species